CCUACGGGGGGCAGCAGUGAGGAAUAUUGGUCAAUGGCCGGAAGGCUGAACCAGCCAAGCCGCGUGAAGGACGAAGGUGCCAAGCAUUGUAAACUUCUUUUGUCAAGGGACAAAAUCAGGCUCGAGAGCCUGACCGAGGGUACUUGAAGAAAAAGCAUCGGCUAACUCCGUGCCAGCAGCCGCGGUAAUACGGAGGAUGCGAGCGUUAUCCGGAUUUAUUGGGUUUAAAGGGUGCGUAGGCGGACUGUUAAGUCAGCGGUAAAAGCCCGGGGCGCAACCCCGGCGAGCCGUUGAAACUGGCUGGCUUGAGAGGGCGAGAGGUAUGCGGAAUGCGCGGUGUAGCGGGGAAAUGCAUAGAUAUUGCGCAGAACUCCGAUUGCGAAGGCAGCAUACCGGCGGCGAUCUGACGCUGAGGCACGAAAGCGUGGGUAUCGAACAGGAUUAGAUACCCCAGUAGUC
rnacentral:rRNA from 1 species